UACGUAGGGGGCUAGCGUUGUCCGGAAUCAUUGGGCGUAAAGAGCGUGUAGGCGGCUUGGUAAGUCCGCUGUGAAAGUCCAGGGCUUAACCCUGGAAAGCCAGUGGAAACUGUCAAGCUAGAGUCCGGAAGAGGCGAGUGGAACUCCUGGUGUAGCGGUGAAAUGCGCAGAUAUCAGGAAGAACACCAAUGGCGAAGGCAGCUCGCUGGGACGGUACUGACGCUGAGACGCGAAAGCGUGGGGAGCAAACAGG
rnacentral:rRNA from 1 species